AACCAGUUUGAAGAGGCUGGAGGAGGAUCCGCUGUCGACAGAGCCGACGGGAGGGGUGCAAGGCGGCCGUCAAGAGCGCCGGAAACAGUACAGCUGAUCUUGCUGUGAUGUUUCACAAAUAAAACCACCCAGCCACUCGUGUUUUGUCCCAGUGAGUCUUCAGUGCGACGUGGAACAUACAGCUGAAGGACCAGAAUGCCCACUUCAAAAACCCAUCAGUGGAUUUCAGUGCUGACCCUUGUUCUAAAGGUCUCUUGAUGUACAGGAAUGUCAAAUUUUCAAAUGAAUUAACUUCUAAAUAAAAUGCCAUGUUAAUGUUACUGAAUGCUGUCUUCAUCAUCAUCAUAAACAUCACUAUUAUUAUUAUUGUUGUUGUUGUGCUGCUUUACAUGGAAAUGAACGUUGCUGUGCUCCAGUUUUAUUUGUACAUACAAAAUAAGCAAAGAAACACUUUUGAAAGAUUUAUUUACAAUUGACAAUGAAAAGUGCAACAAACACAAUAAAAACUUGAGAUGUAUAUACAGUUGCUAUUUAAACUGUAUUUACCUUGGAUACUCUUCUUGCUGCACUAAGAUUUGGCUUUGCAGCAGCAACAUGAACACCACCAAAUCUUGACUUAGUAAACUGUAAGUCAUUUAAUGUCAAAUAAUCCUUCAGUGAACAAAAUGUCAAAUAUUUAUUGUCAAUUUGUGAGAGUCAAUAAUCUUCCACAUACCAUGGACACAGUCAAUAAUAAUCUCUUAAUGCCUGCAGUUCUCUGCUGCCCCAGCGUGCCCUGGACGACGGGACCAGCCGUUGCCGUCUGCUGCCCAAGUGUAGACUGGACCACCGGACUCGCCGUUGCCGUCUGCUGAACUGCAGGCCCCGCUGCAGUUGGCUAAUGUUUCAUGACAGAGCAGAUACUAAUUAGUUUGUGAAGUGAUAUACUGUAUAUAUAUAUAUAUAUAUAUAUUUGUGUAUUUAAGUAUAUACACACUGUAUAUUUAUACACACACACACACACUUAGAGUUUUGAAUUGACCAGUGUUACCUUCUGAGUGUGGAAUCCACACAUACACUCCUUCACAUGACCAAACAAAAACCUCUGACCCUGUAUCAUCUUCGGACAUUUCUCAAUCUAAAAAUAAUCGUUGUACAAACAAUUGACAUUCAUCAGCUUGUGUCAUUGCUUUUCAUUUGUGUAGUUAAUGGAUAUAAACUCAUGUCAUAGAAACCUUGUCUUUUAUUGUAUUUGAUCAAACUUACAAGUAAACUUUAUUGUUUAAGUAAA